AUUGAACGCUGGCGGCAGGCCUAACACAUGCAAGUCGAACGAGUGGCUGACGGGUGAGCAAUGUCUGGGAAACUGCCUGAUGGAGGGGUAUAACUACCGGAAACGGUAGCUAAUACCGCAUACCAUCGGAUGUGCCCAGAGUGGAUGAGCUAGUCGGUGGGGUAAAGGCUCACCUAGGCGACGAUCCCUAGCUGGUCUGAGAGGCGGACCAGCCACACUGGAACUGAGACACGGUCCAGACGCUUACGGGCGGCAGGCGUGGGGCAUAUUGCACUACGGGCGCAAGCCUGAUGCAGCCAUGCCGCGUCUAUGACGAAGGCCUGCGGGUUGUAAAGUACUUUCAGCGGUGAGGCGUUACCCGCAGCAGAAGCACCGGCUAACUCCGUGCCAGCCGCCGCGGUAAUAC
rnacentral:rRNA from 1 species